UACGUAGGGCGCGAGCGUUGUCCGGAUUUAUUGGGCGUAAAGAGCUCGUAGGCGGCUUGUUGCGUCAGCUGUGAAAACCCGCAGCUCAACUGUGGGCUUGCAGCUGAUACGGGCAGGCUUGAGUUCGGUAGGGGAGACUGGAAUUCCAGGUUGUAGCGGUGAAAUGACGUAGAUAUCUGGAGGAACACCGGUGGCGAAGGCGGCAUCCUGGACCAUUACUGACACUGAAAAGCGAAAGCCAGGGGAGCAAACGGG
rnacentral:rRNA from 1 species